AACGAACGCUGGCGGCAUGCCUAACACAUGCAAGUCGAACGAGACCUUCGGGUCUAGUGGCGCACGGGUGCGUAACGCGUGGGAACCUGCCCUUAGGUUCGGAAUAACUCCCCGAAAGGGGUGCUAAUACCGGAUAAUGUCUUCGGACCAAAGAUUUAUCGCCUUUGGAUGGGCCCGCGUUGGAUUAGCUAGUUGGUAGGGUAAAAGCCUACCAAGGCGACGAUCCAUAGCUGGUCUGAGAGGAUGAUCAGCCACACUGGGACUGAGACACGGCCCAGACUCCUACGGGAGGCAGCAGUGGGGAAUAUUGGGCAAUGGGCGAAAGCCUGGUCCAGCAAUGCCGCGUGAGUGAUGAAGGCCUUAGGGUUGUAAAGCUCUUUUACCCGGGAUGAUAAUGACAGUACCGGGAGAAUAAGCUCCGGCUAACUCCGUG
rnacentral:rRNA from 1 species